rnacentral:rRNA from 1 species
CCUACGGGAGGCAGCAGUGAGGAAUAUUGGUCAAUGGGCGAGAGCCUGAACCAGCCAAGUCGCGUGAGGGAAGACGGUCCUAUGGAUUGUAAACCUCUUUUGUCGGGGAGCAAAAAGGCCUCGUGAGGCCACGAGUGAGAGUACCCGAAGAAAAAGCAUCGGCUAACUCCGUGCCAGCAGCCGCGGUAAUCCGGAGGAUGCGAGCGUUAUCCGGAUUUAUUGGGGUUAAAGGGUGCGUAGGCGGACUGGAAAGUCAGCGGUAAAAUCGAGAGGCUCAACCUCUUUCCGCCGUUGAAACUGUAGGUCUUGAGUGGGCGAGAGGUAUGCGGAAUGCGUGGUGUAGCGGUGAAAUGCAUAGAUAUCACGCAGAACUCCGAUUGCGAAGGCAGCAUACCGGCGCCCGACUGACGCUGAGGCACGAAAGCGUGGGUAUCGAACAGGAUUAGAUACCCCGGUAGUC